AUUUCUGCUUGACAGCCUGAAAUGCAUGACAUGGGUUUCCUGCUGUUGCAUAUAGUGCUGGGGUGGACCUGGUUUCAGGACACCAGGGAGCCUGGGGUCAGCUCACAAAACCCCCCUUGUUCCUUUUCCAUCUUCCUUUAGAAACCUAAAGAUGUAAUGUUCUCCGGGUCAUCAGCAGCAGACUUUAUUUUGACUUCAGGUCAUUCACUGUUGAGCUCUGGAGUUGGCUCCCAUUGUGUUAGGCUCUCAUUGCUGUUUUCCCAUCUUGUAUUAUCUGCGCCUUUUGACCCUAAGUGCUUUCGAUCUCAUCAAGAACUCAGAAGUGAUUCUUACCCUUUUUUCAAGACAAAAGGGACCUUGUUUUUCACACUCUAUCAGAUGCACCUAAUUAGGGUAUUACAUGUUGUUUUCUGCUUGUUCCUUCCUAUACCGCCAUUCUGUAAGGAAAUCCAUCAGCUUCCUUAAGACUGUAGACCCCAAUUCUCCAGGUUCAAGGUGGAAGGACGCUCCUAACUUAGGAAAUGGACCUGACAACCCCCACUCUUAGAAGAUCUAGAACAGCACUGUCCAGGAGAACUGUCUGGAUGAUAGGAAUGUUCUUUAUCUGCACAGGCCAAUAAAGUAGGGCCGUGCCCAAGUUCAUGAAGAGGAUCAAGGUUCCAGACUACAAGGACCGGAGUGUGUUUGGGGUCCCACUGACGGUCAACGUGCAGCGCACAGGACAACCGUUGCCUCAGAGCAUCCAGCAGGCCAUGCGAUACCUCCGGAAUCAUUGUUUGGAUCAGGUUGGGCUCUUCAGAAAAUCGGGGGUCAAGUCCCGGAUUCAGGCUCUGCGCCAGAUGAAUGAAGGUGCCAUAGACUGUGUCAACUACGAAGGACAGUCUGCUUAUGACGUGGCAGACAUGCUGAAGCAGUAUUUU
rnacentral:sRNA from 1 species